GGAGGGGUCUCAGACGUUCUGGAGGAAGAACUGUCUGAACUUGUUGAUGCGGUGGAUACGGAAACUGAGAGGAAGAAAGGGAACAAAUUUAGCUGCCCUAAAUCCAUUCUCUUGGCCCUCCCUGGAAGUCAGUAAUGCUCUCUGGUUUUGGAUCUCCAGCUUGUAAUUGAAAACAAUAUUGGUCCUUCUUGGCUUCUCUUUUCUCCUGAACACUUGGUGGAUCAUCGUGUCCUUCCUGGCCAGCUUCCAGGGCAUCAGUUAGAAUGUUGUUUCCUCCAAUGUAAUUAAGGCAAUGUUAACAUAGCUAAAAAAUGAUAUUCUUUUCCUGGAAGUGAAGGAAGCUGUCUGCAGUGGCUUAAUGUGAACUGAGGGCGUCUACUUGCAUUUUUGCAUAUCCACGCUGUUUAAUCUGUGGAAUUCUCCGAGGACUGGGUUGAGGGUGCCUCCCUUUGAAGAAGAUUUGCAUUUGGCUCUGUCAGGCAGCCCAGGUAUUUCCAAUCCAGGACUGAUGUGCUAUUUACUUGGCUUGGGCUUCCUGGACAACACAGUUGAUGACAUAGAAGACUUAAUUUACUCCUCAUGAUCAAAUCUCUCCGUUGGAGAUCAUACUCUUACAAAGAAUCCAACUCUUUGCCAACCCCAUUUGGAGAUGCAGGGCACGGCCCUGAAAUAGCCUCAAGGCUCUCCUGUCACUGCUGUCCUUCAUGGCACCUUUGUCGGUCACUGCAUCAGAUAAACCAUCGCACAAUUCCAUGAGGAAAGACUAUGUGUAUUUACCACUGUGCUCCCAGACUCAGCACCAUCGGAACAGAGAAGCAUCUAGUCAACAUGUAUUGAAAAAUUCACAUUCAGAACAUAAAUGUAUUCAUUCUUUUAUUUA